rnacentral:rRNA from 1 species
CCUACGGUGUGCAGCAGUGGGGAAUAUUGGGCAAUGGGCGCAAGCCUGACCCAGCAACGCCGCGUGAAGGCAGAAGGCUUUCGGGUUGUAAACUUCUUUUAAGAGGGAAGAGCAAAAGACGGUACCUCUUGAAUAAGCCACGGCUAACUACGUGCCAGCAGCCGCGGUAAUACGUAGGUGGCAAGCGUUGUACGGAUUUAUUGGGUUUAAAGGGUGCGCAGGCGGAAGAUCAAGUCAGCGGUAAAAUUGAGAGGCGCAACCUCUUCGAGCCGUUGAAACUGGUUUUCUUGAGUGAGUGAGAAGUAUGCGGAAUGCGUGGUGUAGCGGUGAAAUGCAUAGAUAUCACGCAGAACUCCGAUUGCGAAGGCAGCAUACCGGCGCUCAACUGACGCUCAUGCACGAAAGUGUGGGUAUCGAACAGGAUUAGAUACCCGGGUAGUC